GGGAAUAGCCUUCCGAAAGGGAGAUUAAUACCGCAUAAGAUUGCAGCUUCGCAUGAAGUAGCAAUUAAAGGAGCAAUCCGCUAUGAGAUGGGCCCGCGGCGCAUUAGCUAGUUGGUGAGGUAACGGCUCACCAAGGCGACGAUGCGUAGCCGACCUGAGAGGGUGAUCGGCCACAUUGGGACUGAGACACGGCCCAGACUCCUACGGGAGGCAGCAGUGGGGAAUAUUGCACAAUGGGGGAAACCCUGAUGCAGCAACGCCGCGUGAGUGAUGACGGCCUUCGGGUUGUAAAGCUCUGUCUUCAGGGACGAUAAUGACGGUACCUGAGGAGGAAGCCACGGCUAACUACGUGCCAGCAGCCGCGGUAAUACGUAGGUGGCGAGCGUUGUCCGGAUUUACUGGGCGUAAAGGGAGCGUAGGCGGACUUUUAAGUGAGAUGUGAAAUACUCGGGCUCAACUUGAGUGCUGCAUUUCAAACUGGAAGUCUAGAGUGCAGGAGAGGAGAAUGGAAUUCCUAGUGUAGCGGUGAAAUGCGUAGAGAUUAGGAAGAACACCAGUGGCGAAGGCGAUUCUCUGGACUGUAACUGACGCUGAGGCUCGAAAGCGUGGGGGGCAAACAGGAUUAGAUACCCUGGUAGUCCACGCCGUAAACG
rnacentral:rRNA from 1 species